UUUGCGUCGAGGGGUGUGUGCCCCUCCUGAUGAGUCCAAAAGGACGAAACGCUUG
rnacentral:hammerhead_ribozyme from 2 species